ACGGAGGGUGCAAGCGUUAUCCGGAAUCACUGGGUUUAAAGGGUGCGUAGGCGGCCCAAUAAGUCAGUCGUGAAAUCGCUGGGCUCAACCCAUGCAAUUGCGAUUGAUACUGUUGGACUUGAAUGGGGUUGAGGCUGGCGGAAUGCGACAUGUAGCGGUGAAAUGCUUAGAUAUGUCGCAGAACACCGAUUGCGAAGGCAGCCAGCUGGGCCUUUAUUGACGCUGAGGCACGAAAGCGUGGGGAGCAAACAGGAUUAGAUACCCUGGUAGUCCACGCCCUAAACGAUGCUCACUUGCUGUUCCUCUUUCGGGGGGAGUGGCGUAGGGAAACCGGUAAGUGAGCCACCUGGGGAGUACGCCCGCAAGGGUG
rnacentral:rRNA from 1 species